UGAACGAGCAACGCCGCGUGCAGGAUGAAGGUUUUCGGAUCGUAAACUGCUUUUCUCUGGGACGAGAAUGGACGGUACCAGAGGAAUCAGCCCCGGCUAACUACGUGCCAGCAGCCGCGGUAAUACGUAGGGGGCAAGCGUUGUCCGGAUUUAUUGGGCGUAAAGGGUCCGCAGACGGUUGAGUAAGUUUGACGUGACAGUUCCCGGCUCAACUGGGAAAGUGCGUUGGAAACUGCUCGACUUGAGGGCUUCAGAGGGAUGCGGAAUUCCGGGUGGAGUGGUGAAAUGCGUAGAUAUCCGGAGGAACACCAAAGGCGAAGGCAGCAUCCUGGGAAGUCUCUGACGCUCAGGGACGAAAGCUAGGGGAGCGAACGGGAUUAGAUACCCCGGUAGUCCUAGCCGUAAACGAUGACCACUAGACGUAAGAGGUAUCGACCCCCCUUGUGUCGCAGUUAACACGAUAAGUGGUCCGCCUGGGGAGUACGGUCGCAAGAUUAAAACUCAAAGGAAUUGACGG
rnacentral:rRNA from 1 species